AAUAGAUACCCGGGUAGUCCACGCCGUAAACGAUGUGUGCUAGAAGUCGGGAUAACUCGGUUUCGAAGCUAACGCAUUAAGCACACCGCCUGGGGAGUACGGUCGCAAGGCUGAAACUCGAAAGGAAGUUGACGGGGACCCGCACAAGUGGUGGAGCAUGUGGUUUAAUUCGAUGCAACGCGAUGAACCUUACCAAGACUUGACAUACUCGGCAAAGCUAUAGAGAUAUAGUGGAGGUUAUCCGAUGUACAGGUGGUGCAUGGUUGUCGUCAGCUCGUGUCGUGAGAUGUUGGGUUAAGUCCCGCAACGAGCGCAACCCCUAUCUUUAUUUGCUAACAUUAAGUUGAGGACUAUAGAGAGACUGCCUACGCAAGGUAGGAGGAAGGUGGGGAUGACGUCAAAUCAUCAUGCCCCUUAUGUCUUGGGCUACACACGUGCUACAAUGGCCGGUACAAAGGGCUGCAAACUGGUGACAGUAAGCGAAUCCCAUAAAGCCGGUCUAAGUUCGGAUUGAAGUCUGCAACUCGACUU
rnacentral:rRNA from 1 species